AUUGAACGCUGGCGGCAUGCUUUACACAUGCAAGUCGAGCGGCAGCGCGGGGGCAACCCUGGCGGCGAGCGGCGAACGGGUGAGUAAUGCAUCGGAACGUAUCCUCGAGUGGGGGAUAACCCAGCGAAAGUUGGGCUAAUACCGCAUGAGCUCUGAGGAGGAAAGCGGGGGACCUGCGAGGGCCUCGCGCUGGAGGAGCGGCCGAUGACCGAUUAGCUAGUUGGUGGGGUAAAGGCUUACCAAGGCGACGAUCGGUAGCUGGUCUGAGAGGAUGAUCAGCCACACUGGGACUGGGACACGGCACAGACUCCUACGGGAGGCAGCAGUGGGGAAUUUUGGACAAUGGGGGCAACCCUGAUCCAGCAAUGCCGCGUGAGUGAAGAAGGCCUUCGGGUUGUAAAGCUCUUUCGGACGGAACGAAAUGGGCGGAAAUAAUACUCCUGUCUGAUGGCGGUACCGUAAGAAGAAGCACCGGCUAACUACGUG
rnacentral:rRNA from 1 species